rnacentral:rRNA from 1 species
UGCGUAGGCGGCGCGGUAAGUCGGGUGUGAAAUCUCGGGGCUUAACUCCGAAACUGCAUUCGAUACUGCCGCGCUUGAGGACUGGAGAGGAGACUGGAAUUUACGGUGUAGCGGUGAAAUGCGUAGAUAUCGUAAGGAAGACCAGUGGCGAAGGCGGGUCUCUGGACAGUUCCUGACGCUGAGGCACGAAGGCCAGGGGAGCAAACG